CCCUAUGUAGAUAUGAAGGACUCAUUCUAAGCUAACGAAAACACAACAAUUCUUAGUUUCAGGUGAUUAUACACUCAUGAAAACAUAGUUAUGAAUAUUAUAUUAUACACACACUGUUCCUUUAAAUUCAGUACUUGUGUACAUGCAUGUACUUACAUUCCUCCACUGGGUGCAGGUAAUGGUGGAAGAAGUGUUCAGAUCAGCAACACAACAUUAUAAAAUACUCCAAUACACAUAAAGAUCCUGCAUUCAAAUUAAAGUACUGGCACCAAAAGUAGUCUACUCAUUAUGCAGUAUGGCUCCUGUCAGUACUACAUUAUAAUAAAGUUCUUAAGUAUAUAACUUUAUUACUUUCCUGCACCUGCAGCAGGUUUGAUUUCAGAAGUAGAAGGAACACAAUGAAGUCUCGACGUCGCUCCACCAGACAAAUAGUUUUCAUAAAAGUGAAUGCAGCAUAUUUACAUUCAUAUUAACCCUGCGCAUAAUACAUACAUCCUUUCCCCGUUGUGGUCCUUAAUCGUUGGUUUUAGUCGUCGUUUUAAUUAUUUGGUUGAUUGUCUAUAUUUGAUCUAUUAUUUGUCUUUAUGUUUGUAUUGUAUUAUGUGUUUUAGCCGAACCAGGGACAAGGACAGUAAAUCAGCUACGCAUCGUUUUCAUUUAAUCUAAAUGUAACAAUGCUUACAUGUAUCGUAAUAAACUAAUAAAACAAAAUAAAAAUAACACAUUGUGAUGAAAUUUGUCUUAUUC